rnacentral:rRNA from 1 species
CCUACGGUAGGCAGCAGUGAGGAAUAUUGGUCAAUGGCCGGAAGGCUGAACCAGCCAAUCCGCGUGAGGGAGUAAGGCGCCGCGCGUCGCAGCCCUCUUUUGCCGGGGGACACAAGGCCGGACUCGUCCGGUCCUGAGGGUACCCGGAGAAAAAGCAUCGGCUAACUCCGUGCCAGCCGCCGCGGUACUACGGAGGAUGCGCGCGUUCUCCGGAUUCAUUGGGUUUAAAGGGUGCGCAGGCGGGCCUUUAAGCCGGCGGUGAAAUCGCGGGGCUCAACCCCGCCGAGCCGUCGGAAAUGGGGGCCUUGAGUGCGGCGGAGGCAUGCGGAAUGCGCGGUGUAGCGGGGAAAUGCAUAGAUAUCGCGCAGAACCCCGAUUGCGAAGGCAGCGUGCCGUGCCGCCACUGACGCUGAGGCACGAAAGCGCGGGGAUCGAACAGGAUUAGAUACCCUGGUAGUC